CCCAGGUUCAAGUCAUUCUCCUGCCUCAACCUCCUGAAUAUCUGGGAUUACAGCCGCUUGACACAACACCCGGCUAAUUUUUGUGUUUUUAGUGGAGAUGGAGUUUCACCAUGUUGGCCAGGCUGGUCUCGAACUCCUUACCUCGUGAUUGGCGUCUCGAACUCCUUACCUCGUGAUCCACCCACCUUGGACUCCCAAAGUGUUAGGAUUACAGGCGUGAGCCACCGCGAUGGGCCUGCUCAUCAUAUCUUUAAAGGAAAGAAAAGGUUGAUUUUUUCAGAGACCCCAGAUGCUUCUAAAAUUAUAUGCUGAAUUACAGGUGAAAGAACAGCUGCCACCAAAAGAAAAAUAAUGGGCUUGAACAUUUAUAGAACAGAAGCUGACAUGAACUUUUCUGAAGAAUUGAAAAUGUCCAGCAGACUUUUUAAUUAAAAAUGUUUCUUGUCUUUGCACUUCUAUGUUCCAAAAAGAACAAAUACAGUUAAGAACUGAAAUUGUGUAAUCCACUCUUGGCAAGAUUUACACCCAGUUUUGAAGACCCUGGAGGCUCACAUACUUCAGCCAAACAAGCAUACUAAAACUGUGAAGACUGUUCUCGGCUUUCAGACCUAGUUUUUAGAAAGUGGAGCAUUGAUGGAUGUAAGUAAUUAUCACAUAUGGAUAUCAUAUAUCUCUUAUAAUCUAAGUUUAAGCAAGCUAUCACAAAGAUAAUUGUGUGUUCUGAUCAGAUAUUGGCAUCAAUUCAACUCAGACAUCAACACAGAUACAGACAUCAAUUUUAGGUAAGCAAUUCAAGAACCACGGCUUGCGGGUAGAAAAAUGAAUCUAGGGAAUUAAGAGAAAACAAGAAAUUGUUUUCUCAUGCAGAGAAAACAAUUUUCUUGCAUGUCCAUGCAGUCUGUCUUCUAAGGUACCAUUUGUCUCUCUAUUUGGACUGUUUCUGCUUGCAGUCCUAGCAAUUCAAAAGAAAAGAACAUUGGAAAUACCACUUAUCCUCUAGCAUUAGAAUAGUCCCAUAUCGUGCUGUGUUUUUAUUUGAUAGAGCAGAGAUUCAAAACCAUCUCAACUUGUCUCCAGAUCUUAGUAACCAGUUUCCACACUGCCUCUGAGAUAGACAUUGAUAUUUACGGGUUAAGCAAAUUUGAAGAAUAAGUAAUACAUACACGAAGGUCUUAUUUGUAAAGAAGCUCAAAGUAUCUGUUUCUGGCGGGUGACAAUAAAUUUGACAUUUAUUCUCUCUGUUAUCCUCAGUUUCUUCAUAGAGAUUAAUUGCUUGUGAUAUUUGAAAGAAGAAAGGACACAUAAUAUAUAGGACAGAGUCAUUGAAAUAGUCUAUUUUAUAUUAUAGUAACAAAUUACUUAAAUUAAUUGUCUCUUUGUCAAGGUAAUUCUACUUCCAACAGUCUAUAUGGAGAAACAAGAUAAACACAGGAAAACUUUUAUUUAGAUGUUCAUUGUAUUUUUUAAAUUUACAAUUGCAAACAAGGAAAAUAACUGAUAGUUGUCCAAAAUCAAUGCCACGAUUAAAAAGGAAAAGAAAAACAACUGAAAACAAUCCAAAUGUCCAAAUAAUAUAAUUAUCUCCAUAAAUGAAAUAAACCUCAUGGGAAUAUUGUCACCAUAAGAGUUAUAUUUUUGAUAAUUGUAAAAUGGGGAAAUUAUUUUAUCUAUAAUAAACACGUAUUUCUGUCUUCUAG
rnacentral:lncRNA from 1 species